UUGGGAAUCUUGCACAAUGGAGGAAACUCUGAUGCAGCGACGCCGCGUGGAGGAUGACGGGUCUAGGCCUGUAAACUCCUUUUAUCGGGAAAGACUUAGGACGGUACCCGAUGAAUAAGCACCGGCUAACUACGUGCCAGCAGCCGCGGUAAGACGUAGGGUGCAAGCGUUGUCCGGAUUUACUGGGCGUAAAGAGCGCGUAGGCGGUCUUUUAAGUGUGAAGUGAAAUCUCCAGGGCUCAACCCGGAAACUGCUUUACAUACUGGAAGACUUGAGGGAUGCAGAGGUUUGUGGAAUUCCUGGUGUAGCGGUGAAAUGCGUAGAUAUCAGGAGGAACACCCAUGGCGAAGGCAGCAAACUGGGCAUCAUCUGACGCUGAGGCGCGAAAGCGUGGGUAGCA
rnacentral:rRNA from 1 species